UGCAGGCUGCAACUCGCCUGCACGAAGCCGGAGUUGCUAGUAAUCGCGGAUCAGAAUGCCGCGGUGAAUGCGUUCCCGGGUCUUGUACACACCGCCCGUCACACCAUGGAAGUUGGGGGUGCCCAAAGCCGGCAGGGAAAUAUGCUGUCUAAGGCAAAACCAAUGACUGGGGUGAAGUCGUAACAAGGUAAC
rnacentral:rRNA from 1 species